GCUGUAGGACACCUAUCGGAAGACUGCAAUCUCUCCUCACCCUCAUCUCUGUGCUCGUCACAGAGAUGAGAGCA
rnacentral:sRNA from 1 species